AACAACAUUACACCUGCACAUUUACCUCUACAGCCACUGCUUAUUAUUGGGGUUUCUUCUUCCUCUGUUUUUUCCAGAUUUCUUUGUAUCUUAAAGUGAUUAAUCUGCUCUGCUCUCCCAGUGUACAUCCUCUUUGUUCCCACAUCUCAAUUGCGCUGCUUCAUUCUUCAACCGUGGUUCCUUCUUCUGAAGCUCUUUUAUUUUAUUAGUCAGCAGGCCCCUUAUUUAUUUAUCGAAGUAGUGAAACCGACAGCACUCCGUCGACAUCCCUGCUUGCCGACAGACAGACCAAAGAUGUCAAAUUUUAAAAAACCUGUGGAUUCAACAUGCUGGAAACAAAAAGGGAAACGUCAAUGCUCUGAAGAAAGAGGCAUCCAAAUUAAACAAGACGUCGCGAAAUGUAUAGGGCGAGGUCGGCUGAAAAAAGAGAACUAAAUUUACCGGAGCGCCGAACGACAUAUCUUCGUUCUAGAAUGAAGAAUCCAACCAGUGAGUCCACUGAAAUAUCACCUUGCUACCAAUUGAAUAGUGAAUUAGCGAGGCAGAGAGCUACUCUAACAGGAGCCUCAUCUUCUACCUUGAGAACAGAAAAAAUCAAGAGUUGCUGCUGAAUUUACUUGGAACAUCAUGAAUGUGAAAAAGACCAAGAUGUGAGGCUCAAAGUUGGAUAUGAAGUUGUUGAAAAGUUAUAUUAAACUGCCUUUGUUUAAUAUGCCUACUCAGUUAUGAGAUGCUGCUACACUCUCUAUGGAAUAUACUAUUAAGGGCCAUGAGACAACUUAACUACCAGAUAGACGAGCUUGUGAGCUCUAAGGUUUUUUAUAUGGAAGGCAGGUUGAAACUCUGCCACAAGCAAGUGAAAGUUGGAUAACAAAGGCUAAAGUGUCCAUGUACUGAGAUUUGAAAAAAGGAGCCAGUUGUAACAACCUGAUUACCUAUUACCUGGUAGUCAACGACAAUGUAUCAAUGCUCUUCUCUUAGGGCUCAAAACAACUAUGUUAAUAGUGGCAAGAGAAAGAUCCAUCACUCAGAUCACCACUUUUCUGAUAGCAAUAGGAGGACGGAGAAUUGAAAUUGAAGAGCUUUAGUAUACAUUGCAGCUGAAAAUGACUAUGGAAACCUUAACAAAUACUAACUCACCAUCAGGAACAGUAAAGCUUCAAAUUUUAUGAAGUGCAUCAGUGAGCUGUCAUUCCGUCUAUAUCAAGAACAAGUAUAUUUCGUUUUAUCAUGUUUGCCUCCUCCACUGACCUUCAACAACAAAAAAAUCCCAAAGACAGAACUUCUUAUGGUUGAAAUCUUACGGCAUGUGCUUAAAUUUGUUCAGCUUCGUGAUAGGACAACUGACAUCCUAAAGCAUUCCUUUCCAGUAACCAAGCCUGAUACAAAAUGUAUUAUCACAUUUGCUAACCAGUCAGGCUAUAUUUCAUUCAGCUAAUUCAAGAAUAUGGAGUUUAUCAACUUCGUAUUUUCUAGCACGUGGAAUGCAGAUAACGUACAUUGGCCUCUCAGUUGGAAAAAAAUGGAUAUAAAGUGGAUAAGUGCACCAUUUUGUAACAAGUUAUAAGGAUUUUAGUUUAGAUUCUUGUCAAUGGAUAGAUCCUAUCCCUGCUUCUGUUUGCAUUACUACUGACCACUGUUGGGAUCAAUAUAACUUCUUGCUUUCUGUCAGAGCAACAUAUUUUAUUUUUUGAGUACUACUGAAGGGUUAAAUCA